UAAUCGUCUAAUCCUAAUUACAUAAUCACAUCUAAUGAUGAAUUAAGCUAAUUAACACUAAAACGUUAAUCCUAAUAUCUAACGAAAUUAUGAACUAACCUAAUCACAACCUAGAUUAACAAAAAAACAUCAUUAUUAACAAAAAAACAAGAAUUAAACAUGAAAAAGAUAAAUUAAAUAAAGUUAAGAACAAAGGUUUAAACAUAUGGGCCAUGGGGUGAGAUCAGUAGAGAUAAGGUGUGGGUAUGACAAAGGGUGUGGAGGAUACUGGUUUGGGUUGUGAAAUGUUUUGGGAAGAAAGCCUAAUCUCUAAAACCUCUUGAAAUCAGUUCCUCCAAGAAAGACCAAGAACGGGUCAAAAUUCAAGCAUUCAAGAAACCAAAACCAGUUUCUAUGAACAUUCAAUUCACCUCACGUAUCCAAGAGCGCACCGCGGCGUUACCGAAAUGGUUCCAUCCUUCGAAACAAACGAUCUCGAAUGCAUAUCCUAUUGUUGAAUCUCCCAUGGGCAAUGGGGGAAAGAACAAAGCUGUGAAUCCAUCACUGAAAUCGAGUCCGAGCAGAAGUUUCUACUUAUGUAUGUAUGAAAGAAGGCGAAAGGAUGAACGUACCGGACGAUUGUGAUUCGGUGGCUCCGACUUAUCUUCCUCUUAGCAUCUUCGAUUCGUUUCAAUCUCUUCCAUCGCGUGCCGUUGGUGUUUUUGAUUCAUCCGCCUUAUUUCCGAAUUUUCCCCGUCGCGUGCCGUUAUCGAAGUGUUGUUAUGGUGAAGGGAUUGGAAUGGAGAGGUUCGUUUGGUGGUUGGAAUUGGAAGAAGUUGGACGAAGUGAAUUCGGUUCAGUUUGUAUUGCAGGGUGAGAGCCGGUUACAGAGUAGUUGGUUAGAAGGGUUUCAGAAGAAACUGGUUAGGAGUUGUUACAUGAUGAUGGAGGGAUUGAAAGGUUAGAAUGGAAGGUCAGAAUAAGGUCAAAGAUGAUUCUUGAAGGAGGUUGUUAGGGAAGGUGUUGUUUUUUGGCCUCAGUUGAAGGGGUCAUCAGUUCAAUGAGGGUGGUUGUGUGAAUGGAAGAUCGUUGGAGAAGAGGGUUGAGAGAAGAGGAUGAAGGGUGAGGAAGACUUGUUUUUAUGUAGUAGGUUGGAGGAGUGAGUUUUCUAUAGUGGAGGUUGUGGUUGAAUGGUUCAAAGUUAAUUCAGUGGGAUCAUUCGAUUGAGGUGGGUCUGUUAGCAGGUUUUUUAUGAAGAGAUUUUGAAUGGUGCUAUUUAUGUCGAAGUAGGGAAGUUAGAAGAGGUUAUGAGUUAGUUAGUUAGGGGUGAGGAGAAAAAUCAGUUAGAAGUGAAGGGAAGUUAGGAGUUAGUUAUAGGUUGUUAUGAGCUUUUAGAAGUUGAAGUCAUAAGCUGGAAAAUGAAGUUUUGAGUAGUUAGAGUGAGGAGAAAAGGUGAAAAAAAUCCGAUAUGGAUUGUUGGUUUUCAGUUGGUUAAAAUUCUUUUUGUUUCUUUUGCAAGGUUUAUGACAGUUGGAUUCAUCAUGAAGAUUUCCAAAUGGUUCUGUAUGUAGGUUUCAAUCCGGUUCCAGGUCGAUUUUUGGAAGGUGGUUUUGUGGUUGUUGCAACAAAAGUCCAUAGGAGUACUCACAUGUCUUUAUGUUGAAUUUACAUUAGUGAAUGAGUGAAUUCCAUUUCCUUCAAAUGAGUAAGAGAAAGAACUCCUUCCAACCUUUUAAUGUCUUGUAAGUGCAUCAAUUCCUGGUCUUCGUGGAAAGUAUUGGAAAAAUUCUUAGCUUCUUGAAUAUGCCCUCUAGCAGGACCGUUCUCCAACUGAGAAAAUGCAAGGAGGUGAUUGGCAAUGUCAGGUUCGAGAAGGGUACUCAAUGAGGAAUUGCUUUUGUUCUAAUGAAAUUCUUCUUGAAAAACCUUUUCCGUUUGUUUGAACCCUUUUUCUUUAAGUAUGUAGUACCGGGCUUGUGCUUGGCUUGGAAUUGCUCAAGUUAUGGAAUGUGGGAUUAUAUUUUAAUUUAAUUGAAUUUGGGAUUGUUUUGUAAUUGGUUCAUGUAGAGGUUAGGCAGGAAUAUUGUAAUGUGAAUGAAUUGAUUUGGUUUAGUGGCUUAUGUAUUUGGAAAUUGGAUGUAAUGGAAUUGUAAUUGAAAUUUGAUGAAUUGAAAUAUUUACAAUGUA